UCACGAGUUACCAAAAAACUGCUAUCGCAGAGAGCGGGACAUUAGAUUCCGGAGAUGGAGUGCAGAGUGACGACGCUUUUGUAUGUCUUCGUCAUUGUCUUCCGUUGCGCCCACUCAGAAGGACCUGUUAUGCUUUCUACCCCAAGCCACGUAAAUGUAAUCCAAGGAGAUUCUAUUGUAUUGCCUUGCAAUGUUCUGAAUAUCGGUCGCAACGUUCGGGUGUGGAAACAACAACCAACUACACUUUUGUUUUCUGGGGCAAUCACUGUAUUCAAGUCCCCCAAAUUCAGUUUGGUCAAUCAGUCUUCUUUACUCAUAGAAAAUGUUGAACCAGAAGAUGCUGGAGAAUAUAUUUGUCAAAUCAGUAAUCACCCUUUUGUGGAUGUUACUCAUCAGGUUCAUGUUUCAGUCCCAUCGUCUGUUUCUCCUGAUCCUCCUGAUGGGUUAGUAAUCUCACAGAAGGGGGAGAUGGCAACAAUGCGGUGUAAUACGAAAGGAACUCCUAUUCCAAGGGUCACUUGGACAUAUUAUAUUGGAAAUGUGUUGUAUGGAUCACUACCGAGUGGUAUCAGACAGCAUGGUUCUGGUCUUCACAUUGCUUCAACAGACGCACAUCACGCUGGCACUUAUGUCUGCACAGCUGACAAUGGGGUUGGUGAACCUGUAAAAGCCUCUUUUAACCUCACGGUUCAUUAUGCACCAGAGGUACUUGUGAAACCAGAAUGGGCCCACGGGGAUGAAGGCGCAACCGUCGAAUUUCUUUGCACCUCUAAUUCUUUUCCUAUAUCCCAAGUCGCAUGGUUGCAAGGGAAUCUAAAGCAAGGCAAGCUGCUAUUUUCAGACGAUAGAAUUAGUGUGACAGAAAAGAAAACGGCUUCUUCGACAGUUGAAGUUUCUUUAAAAAUACAGAGAAUGCUUCGAAGCGACCUUGGAGCCUAUACAUGUGUUGCAAAUAACUUAGUAGGAAAAUCGUGGAAAACAGUCGAAGUAUCAGGUUUGGCAGAACCUGUUCAGUUACGAGGUCACGAAUCUGGUGAAAGUAGUUUCCUUUUAUUAUGGACAGUAAAAUCUUUUAGUCCUAUAAUUGAAUAUCAGCUGAAGAUUAGAAGACACAAGAGUGGAGAUGAUUGGACGGAUGUUAUGAUUCCCGUUGCGGAAGAUGGUUUUCAACAAAGUCUGUUAUACACUCAGUCGUACAACGUGACGGGACUGGAGCCAGGAUCUCGCUACGAGGCUGUACUUCAAGCACAUAAUGAUUUUGGAUGGAACAGACCAUCUGACACUUUAUACUUCGACGAGAGAAGUUGACUUCCCCAUCUUUGGAACAAGAUGACCCCAAAACGCAGCCCUCUUUAUUGCCCCUUUACGAUAUCGAACUGGAUGUCACAGAUCCAACAUAUUCUAAACAAGGAGCCCAAAGAGAAGCCUGCUUUUAUUCGAUAAUAUUGUUAUCUAUGCUCACUGUCAUGUUAUUCUUCCCUUGACGUCAAUCUUAAAAAUGUCAUUCAUGUUAGAGAAGGCAAGACAUUAGCAAAAUACUCUGCAAGAUGUUUCCGACAACAAGACCCGGAAACAGGACUCCUGUCAUAUGUGUCUUCAGAGAAGAUUGAAGGUAGUGCAUGUAACAGCAGCAUUCAGUUGAUAAUACAUCACCGAGGUGAUUGACUGAUAAACCUAACUUACCUAAACUGCCAGAUAUUAUGAAUGUUCCAUUAUGAACGUUUCGGAUGUCUCUGCAUCAUAUCAUUUUGUUGCCAGUUGUGUGACGAUUGGAAGCCAAAAAUCCAAUGUAAAUUAAUCAUAGUAAGACUCUUCAGAAUAUUGGUUCAGUUUUAUGAAUAACAUAAAUGUAUAAGCUUUUGAAGAAAUAUACUUGUGAAACACAGCUUCCAUCUUGUAAAUGAUUCAAUGAAAUUAUUUUUAAAUCAGAAAAACACAGAAAUUCCUGAAAUAUAAUCAUUAUGAAUAUGUGAAACUUGCAUGACAGCUGAUUCAAGUCCUUUGCGUAAACACUGAAAUUUAUCUAAAAAGGUGUGUGCAUAAUAUUAUGUAAAAUAUUAACAGUUUUAUUUAUUAUGUAUCCAUUGGCCAUAUUAUUUGUACUGAUUUAUAAGUAUCAAAGGUCUAUAAAGCUGUAGCAACGAUUAUUUCAAGAUACUGAUACUGUGAUGUUUAUCUAAAACUUCAUAUUAAAAUAUAAGGCAUUUUGCAGUGCUUAAUGCAGAAAAUAUGCAAUUCCAAUAUUUUUUAGUAAAAUUAUGAAACAAAAAACAGCGAAAUCUUAACAUUUUAUCCGAACAGUUGUAUUAGUUAAUACAUCAAAUUUCUAAAAUAUAACCAAGUAAUUAUCUUGAAUUUAGUUAUAUUUCAUUUCCAAGAUACAUCAAACUUUAUAUAGGAUCAGAUAUAUCCUAAAAUAUUUAUUUAUAUUAUAUAAUUAAAACAAGCUGUUAUUUACGAAAUAUUGUUAACUUAAAUAACAUACUAUUGAUUAUUAAUUCCUUAUUUUUAAAUGAAUAUCUGAAUUCAAAAAUAGUGCAAGAUUUGAGAGAGAUUUAUUUACUUAAAUACUGAAUUCUACUUUCGAAACUAUAUCAUCUUUUGAUUUAGUGGUGAAAAAGUUAUAGCCAUUAAAAUGCUUUUUCCUCCUUUCGUUCUUGAAUUUUUAUUUUUCUCAUAAGAAGUUUCUUCUGCUUUUGUAUAUUGGCUACUUUCGUAUUCAGAUAUGCAUAAUAAAAAGAAUCUUGCCAGCAGAAA
rnacentral:misc_RNA from 1 species